GUGCCAGCAGCCGCGGUAAUACGGAGGAUCCAAGCGUUAUCCGGAUUUAUUGGGUUUAAAGGGUGCGUAGGCGGCCUGUUAAGUCAGGGGUGAAAGACGGUGGCUCAACCAUCGCAGUGCCCUUGAUACUGAUGGGCUUGAUUUCAGUUGAGGUAGGCGGAAUGUGACAAGUAGCGGUGAAAUGCAUAGAUAUGUCACAGAACACCGAUUGCGAAGGCAGCUUACUAAAGUGAUAAUGACGCUGAGGCACGAAAGCGUGGGGAUCAAACAGGAUUAGAUACCCGCGUAGUCC
rnacentral:rRNA from 1 species